UCUGUGGGUUUCCCCCUUGCUCCAAAUUUUCCUACAAGCACUUUCACAUGCGGAGGGGACUCUCUAACGGUCACCAACAGGAAUGCCACUCGUAAUGUCAGAGGGCAGGGGCAUGGGGAACGUGAGGGAAGUGGGAGGACGUGGGCACCAGGGGGUUAAUCCCCAGUCGUCCCAGGGGCCUCCCCCCUGAAGUCGGGGGCUUUGGGGGCAGGAAGUCCCCGAGAGAGUGGAGGAAGGGAGAUAGUAUUGUCAGGCUCAGGCCCCAAGGGAGAGAUUAUGGGGGGCCGGGGGGAGGGGAGAAUGGGGGGAGGGUCUACUCCGGUCCCCCAGCCCACACCGGCCCCGCCCUCAGGUGAGCCCAGGAGUUCUCAGGGAGGCCCAGGGAGUAUCUGCCAACUUGGAGGUUCUCUGAAAAAGUCUUUAAGAAAUUCGGGAGUCCUCCGAGCGCCCCCAAAUCUGAGGGCUCCCAGGAGAACCUCAGCGGCACCACCCCGAGCCUUAGGAGUCACGGCGAAGUGGUCAGUAACUGGAACUGGUCCAAGGGGGCUCGGCCUCAAAUCCGAGGCCCCCAGUGCCCUGUCCCCAAAUUCCAGCCCGGAGCAAGCUGGGGGAGGGGGACAAAGGCGGGGCGAGGAGCCCGCGCGGAGCGCGGAAGGGUUUGGAGGCAGUUCGAGGCUCACCUCAUGGCUGCUCAGCGGGCGGGCGGCGCACCCACGGGUGGGUGCUCCCGGGGCGCCCCUGGCUCAAGGUUCAGGGGUUCGGGGCUGGCUCCAGGUUCUGCUCAGUCUCCCCCAGGGUCCCGCCCCAUAGAGUCCGGCUUCCUGGGGGGAACGUGGACGGGACCCGGCCGGGUCCUCAGGCGCCUCCUCCCUCUGGAGGUUUGGUCGGGGGUCCCUGCGGCAGAAAGGGGGUGCGGCGUCCCGUCCCCGGCGCGCCCCCUCGGCCGGCGGCGGGUACAAUGUUACUCUUACUACUGUACUUCUCUUCGCUACAUUUCGUUCCAAAAUUCCACUCCCCGCACCCACAAUGCCCUGCGCCUUAAAGGGGCCGCGGACACCUCAAGGCAGUUUGGGGGGGGUGAAGGGCGCUUAAAAGGGCAACGCGGAACCCUAGACUUCCGCUGUUUACCUCUUCCCCAACGUUAUUGCAUGGGGAUGCAUGCCGAGGGUCGCCCCCAAAUUACGGGGGGAAGUUUGGUGGAGGGCUACCUUCAGACUCCCAAAGUUCCCUUCUCUGCCAAUUUAUGAAGGGUUCCUGCGGGGUGAACCCCUUCCCCAGCACAGACGGGGGCGAUGGGCCUGGAGGGCCCCAUCCCUCUCACCGCCCCCCGCCCGCCCCAGGAAGGUGGAAUUGGGCUUCUGUCAAUUACAACGCAAACAAUGCUGACAAAUACAUCCUUCUGCUGCUGGGAAACUAUCAACAGUCCUCUCCCUGAACUGCCUUCGCCGCCGUGCAAAGGACUGCAGGCUUGAGCCCCAGGUCCCUCCAUCCCAUUGAGGUGGUGACUCUCACCCCCCCCCACCCCUGCCUUCGUUUAUGUGGCUCCACCCACCACCUCUUGGGACAGCUUCAAAUUCUUGUAGGCUACGUGGGACCAAUUCACCACUUCUCUCCUCCGAGACCCAGACCAUCCUCAGAGACAUCCCAGUGGUUUCUGCAGCACACCCAGUCUUUGGGAUUGGUCAUAAACAUUCCUCGAAUUUUUCUGCCU